UCGCAGUCUGAAGCAGUUCAAUGUGGACAUCUGCCAAACAUGUUUCCUAACCGGCCGCACUACCAAGGGAAAGAAGCUGCACUACCCCAUCAUGGAGUACUACACACCGACGACCUCGGGGGAAAAGAUGAGGGACUUUGCCAAGACUCUGAAGAAUAAAUUCAGGUCAAAGCAGUACUUCACCAAGCACCCGCAGAGAGGUUACCUGCCAGUGCAGUCUGUACUGGAGGCGGAGAGCACAGAGACGCCGUGCUCCUCACCCAAGCUGCCCCAUGCAGACACACACAGCAGGAUUGAGCAUUAUGCCAGCAGGUACGUGGC